GAGGGUAUAGCUCAGUGGUAGAGUGCAAUGCUUAGCAUGCACGAGGUCCUGGGUUCAAUACUUGGUACCUUCA
rnacentral:tRNA from 1 species